rnacentral:tRNA from 1 species
GGAGUUGUAGCUCAGUGGUAGAGCACUUGCCUAGCAUGUGCGAGGCACUGGGUUCAAUUCUCAGCACCA